AUUGAACGCUGGCGGAAUGCUUUACACAUGCAAGUCGAACGGCAGCACGGACUUCGGUCUGGUGGCGAGUGGCGAACGGGUGAGUAAUACAUCGGAACGUGCCCAGUCGUGGGGAUAACGUAGCGAAAGCUACGCUAAUACCGCAUACGAUCUAAGGAUGAAAGCGGGGGAUCGCAAGACCUCGCGCGAUUGGAGCGGCCGAUGGCAGAUUAGGUAGUUGGUGGGGUAAAGGCUCACCAAGCCGACGAUCUGUAGCUGGUCUGAGAGGACGACCAGCCACACUGGGACUGGGACACGGCCCAGACUCCUACGGGAGGCAGCAGUGGGGAAUUUUGGACAAUGGGCGCAAGCCUGAUCCAGCCAUUCCGCGUGCAGGAUGAAGGCCCUCGGGUUGUAAGCUGCUUUUGUACGGAAUGAAAAGGCUCUGGUUAAUACCCGGGGCUCAUGACGGUACCGUAAGAAUAAGCACCGGCUAACUACGUGCCAGCCGCCGCCGUAA
rnacentral:rRNA from 1 species